AGAGCACAUUCAGAGAUUGAUUGAUAGAUUCUUGUUGUCUCGAAUAAUUAAGGGCUACGGGGAGAAUGCGGCUACCACUUUCUCUGGAAGUUCAUUCCACCCAGGCUCGUGUGUUAAAGUGACAGGCAGCUGGAAGCUCGGGGUCUGUUUUUGCAGCAGAACGUAGAUCAUCAGUCGCCAUUUCCGCCACCUCCACUGAGAUGCUGCCAGACACAGGUUCCCGUCCCCUCCAUUAACAGCUAUGCACCCUCCCCAGCCAGGAUAUUAAAUCAGAAUAAUUGAGGCUAGGAACUCAAAAGCACGUUUUUACAGUCAAUGGAGUCAUCGGGAUCUGAAUAUCAUUUGCAUUUGACUGUGGACGGAGAAAGGAUGAGGCUGUCACUGGCUCGGCCAGCAUUUAUUGCUGCGUUUACCCAGAGGGCAGUUAAGAGUCAACCACGUUGCUCUAGGUCUCGAGUCCCAUGCAGACCAGGCCAGGGUGCUAGACGGUGAAGAUUUGCAGACUGAAAUCUCAAACUCGUAUGCAGAUUGUGAUUAAGUUAACCAGCAUUUGAAGAACCAAGCAUGGAGAAUAACUUGCCCAAAAUUCUGCAACACUCUCCCUCACAGCAUUGUCGGUCUUUCUGCGCCAAAUGGACUGUGAAUGGUUCAAGACAGCAGCUCACUGCCAUCUUCUCAAGGGUAACUAGAGAUGGGGAAUAAAUGCUGGCUGAGCCAGUGAUGCCCAUAUCCUGGAAAUGGUUUCUAUCUCUAAUUGCUGAGAUUGGGGAGAAUGUGCAAACUCCACACAGGCUGUUGACCAAGGCUGGACUCCAACCUUGUACCUAGUGCUGUGAAGCAGCAGUGCUAUAGAGCAAUUUAAAUCAAAACAGAUAACCCCUGCUCAUUGCUGUUUGUGGAGACUCCUUGCCCAGCGACAUCCUGAGAUUCAGAAAGAGACAAUAUGCAUUCAGUCAACUCCUGCCGAGUUAAUGUGAUUAACAACAACAUCAAUACUCCAACAGCGUCAUCAGACCUCGUAACUACGCUAUCAUUUACGAUUAUUAACCCAUGGGAAGUUUGUUACCAGCUUCGAUGACAGCCAUAAUACUCUGACCACUUUGACAGAGCCAGUGCUAGGCAGUUCUAAUAGUUAUCAAUAGAUUGAAUCUAAACAGAAUGCCCCACAACAGGAAGUGCUCUGACACUCAAUGCCCGUAAUUGAAGGUCAUUUUUCUAAAACCACUCGCGUCUGGCAAUACCAUUGAAGAUAUUUUAUACAGUAGCCUUUCGGUCUCAAUUGCCAGUUCCAGUCCAUGAAGCAGCCAGUUACAUGCCAGUGAAUUGAAUUCUAACAGCAGCAUUGCCCUGGCAGGAGAGAUUGAGGAGCUUGAAGCUGUCUUCUCUGGAGGAUCUAAACAUGAAACACUUCAAAUGCAAAAAUCUUCAAGAGCUCGAUAGGGCAGAUACAGGAAGGAUGUGCUCCUAGGCUGGUGUGUCUGGAAUAAAAUAAGCACUAACUAUGGUAUCUUUACCCAGCAUCACCUUUAGCUGCAUCAAUGUUGAAGAUUUAUUUGCUGCCUAAUUCAACUCUCUCGAUCACUCCCAUUUUUCACUGCGGUAAUGUUGAUGACUGUGCAAAUGUAUAAGAUUUAAUUUAAUCCAUCCCAAAGCCUCUCUGUACCUGUGUCUCACUUGUGUUCACCGAGAUGCUCAUUCAAUCUGACCUCUUUACAAACCCUGCUCUGAUAUUUCCUUAGAGGGCUCAGAAUUAAUUAUUCACAGAAUUGUUACUGUACAAAAGGAGGCUGAUUGGCUGAUCAGCUCUCCAAAGGAUCACCUCACCGAAUGCUAUUCUUCUCCCUUUACCCCAUAAACCUUCCAAUAACACCAGCGAGUUCACAACUAAUCACAGCGAUCGGAUUUGUUUUGUUUGUUCAUGGGAUCACGGCAUCACUUGCUGGGGCAGCAUUUGUCAUCCAUUCUGACUGCCCAGGAGAUGAUUCAGAGUCAACCCCAUUAUUCAGGGUCUGGAUUCACAUGUCGGCUGGACCAAAUCAGAAUUAACACAGUUUUCCAGACCCAAUGACAUGAAGAGUUGAUUUCUGGUCUAUUAUCCUAUUUCAGAAAUAAUAAUGAAUAAUGUUUGCAGUUGAAUUAAAAGUGAAAGACCAAAAUGGGUUUUA